GUCAGGCAGGGCCUAAUAUAGUGUAUAAGAGGUCAGGCUGGGCCUAAUAUAGUGUAUAAGAGGACAGGCUGGGCCUAAUAUAGUGUAUAAGAGGACAGGCUGGGCCUAAUAUAGUGUAUAAGAGGACAGGCUGGGCCUAAUAUAGUGUAUAAGAGGUCAGGCUGGGCCUAAUAUAGUGUAUAAGAGGUCAGGCUGGGCCUAAUAUAGUGUAUAAGAGGACAGGCUGGGCCUAAUAUAGUGUAUAAGAGGACAGGCUGGGCCUAAUAUAGUGUAUAAGAGGACAGGCUGGGCCUAAUAUAGUGUAUAAGAGGUCAGGCUGGGCCUAAUAUAGUGUAUAAGAGGUCAGGCUGGGCCUAAUAUAGUGUAUAAGAGGACAGGCUGGGCCUAAUAUAGUGUAUAAGAGGACAGGCUGGGCCUAAUAUAGUGUAUAAGAGGUCAG